GGGGGUAUGGUGUAACCCGGCAUCACUGUUGGCUCCAGACCAACCUAUCUGGGAGGCGGAAAGCAAGCCAGCUUUCAGCCCAGGAAUUCGAACUGGUUAUGGUAUCAACACGCCCUAACCACGUGAUUCCCAGUACCCCCA
rnacentral:tRNA from 1 species